AGGCAGCGCACAGAGCGCGCCGGGCACCGACAGCUAAGAGGCUCGGUCGCCAAGAUGUGAGACGCGGCAGUGCAGGUCCCAGUCCCUGCCCCCGUCGCAGGGGAGCCGCCCGAAUCCCUGGGAGACCAACCCGGAAAGUUAGCCAGGUUCCUCGGCAACCCGGCCGCCCUCGCGCCCACCCCUCUUGUGUACGCACACGCAUCCACACCCCUUCCUAAGCUCCAUACUUGCCGUGGAAAUUCCUGGGGAGAACGGUCGCACUUUCAGGACACCAAGAUGAUUAAGAUUGUCAAAUUAAAAGGGGGCAGCCAUUAAAGAGAAUGAAAUAGACUCAGAUGGACUGACAUGGAAGGAGGCCUAUGAUAUACCCUCAAGUGAGAAGACAAAGAAGUCAGAAAAUAGUACACACGCUGUGACGUGGUAUUGGGCUGAUCUUAUUCUCUAAGGAGUCCCCGAUGGAGGACAUACAGCUAACUUAGUCUGCAAGUCUUCCCUGUCCUGAACCCCCAUCAGACUGGUGCCAUCCUGUACAUUUGGAGGUCACAGAGGGCAGUGGCUACGUCUUAUUCAUCUUAGUAUCUCCAAUGCCUAGGACAUGACUGCUCAAUAAAUGUUUGCUGAAUGAAUGAA